GACAGAGGGUGCAAACGUUGUUCGGAAUUACUGGGCGUAAAGCGCGUGUAGGCGGCUCGGUAAGUCGGAUGUGAAAGCCCAGGGCUCAACCCUGGAAGUGCACUCGAAACUCCCGAGCUGGAGUCCCGGAGAGGAAGGCGGAAUUCUCGGUGUAGAGGUGAAAUUCGUAGAUAUCGAGAGGAACACCUGUGGCGAAGGCGGCCUUCUGGACGGUGACUGACGCUGAGACGCGAAAGCGUGGGGAGCAAACAGG
rnacentral:rRNA from 1 species